AAUGUUGACAGUACCACAGGCUCCCGGAGAGCAAACCCUCCAGUCCCUCUGUGUUUCCUGCCACUGCUCUGUACCUGGAUCGCUGCUUGGUGCACAGGCAGCAUGCGCUGUCUUCAGGACCUGCUUCCUCAGGAGAGUUUAUCCUAGGUUAACCUUACCCAGGCUGUCUCCCUUGGAAGCCCUUGAGGGUAUAGACACUGGUGAGACAGGCUUUGGAACUCUCCCAAGAGAGUGAAUCUUCUGAGCUUCAGAACUUCUGGGCUUGGGGGUGUGGCUCAGCAGGUGAAGGUGCUCACAGCAUCCAAGUCGACCCACGUGCCGGAAGGUGUGCAAACUUCUCAGAAGAUUGUCCUUUGGCCUCCACAGCCACAGUGGGAUGUGUGCACACCAUACACAUACACAAAACAAAUAAAUGGAAAUUAAAAGUA
ensembl:lincRNA Gm11431 predicted gene 11431